UCUACACCUGGUAUUUUACGAGUGUGUUCAGUGGUGCCCUCUCUGCGAACUGCACACUUUUCGUUCACUCCAUGUUUCCCAACUCGUGGGGUUUCCUUAUAAGAUCAAUUUGAUAAUGAUAUUUUAAAACUACACUGAAGGUUCUAAAUUCUAAUGUAAUUUUUUCAUGCCAUUUGAUGAAGAUAUGAUAAUAAUGCAAAUAUUUUGAAACUAAUUAAUUAAACUUCUUAAUCGCCAGCGAGUGGUGAUCUUUCCAAUAUAUGGAAGUUCACUUGGAUUCAGAUUGGUAGUAGUGCACUCACAACCUGGUCACAAUCUUGGUCAACAUAUCCUGCCCCUCUGCAGCAUACCAAAGCAUAUGCUGCAAGAACAGGACCAUGUGUGCCAGUUUUUGUUUCUUCAAUAAUUGUUUCAGCACCUACUGUGCACAUACUUUACAGAACUUCAGACAAUCAUGCUUAUGAUUUAGACCAAACCAUAUGAACACCUUAUCUCAACACUGUGUCAGUGGUGAUUUUCCUGUCACUGCAACAUACUCAUUGCCUCAACAUAUACUCCACAGUUACAUAGAGUAUAUGUUGAAGCAAUUGCUCUUCAUUGAUGACUUAUGUGCUCAUUGGUGAAUUCCAUCCAAUUGUGUAUUGUUUGUCAUAAUAAUGUAUGCUACCCAUACACAGGAGCAAGUUUUUUGUACAUGUCAUUCAUAAUAAAUCCUUCUGAUCACAAAAUCUGCACAACUGACUGCUCUUCCAACACAGUCUCCAUGUUGUCACAUACUUGGCAUCACCUGUGUCUACUACGAGGGAUUUUGAAUGAUUCCUUUCUGUAGCUCAAGAGUUACUCUUUUAUGUAGUAUAGUUAGCAUGUCCAUGCCCAAUGCACAUAUCAGGUUCCCAUGCAUGUUUGCAACUUACUGACUUCCCCCUUGUAGUUAACGACUUUGUUUCUUGGUUAAAAGCAGUUGCUUCCCAUUUUUAAUUUUGGAAAAUUACUCAUCGUUUAUUGCAUUCUUCUUAUAUUUAUUCAAUCACAAUGAGUACUGCCAAGCCAAUAUCACUUGAAGAAAUUUGUUUAAUCUGUGAUAUAAGGAUAUUGCAUAUUUUGUUUUGUGAUUAUAUUUUUGUAUGUAUGUAGAUUUUAUAUCCAAAUGUAUAAGCUGAAAGAGCACUAACUCCCC
rnacentral:lncRNA from 1 species